rnacentral:rRNA from 1 species
GACGAACGCUGGCGGCGUGCCUAAUACAUGCAAGUAGAACGCACAGUUUAUACCGUAGCUUGCUACACCAUAAACUGUGAGUUGCGAACGGGUGAGUAACGCGUAGGUAACCUGCCUGGUAGCGGGGGAUAACUAUUGGAAACGAUAGCUAAUACCGCAUAAUAUUGAUUAUUGCAUGAUAAUUGAUUGAAAGAUGCUAUUGCAUCACUACCAGAUGGACCUGCGUUGUAUUAGCUAGUAGGUGAGGUAACGGCUCACCUAGGCGACGAUACAUAGCCGACCUGAGAGGGUGAUCGGCCACACUGGGACUGAGACACGGCCCAGACUCCUACGGGAGGCAGCAGUAGGGAAUCUUCGGCAAUGGACGAAAGUCUGACCGAGCAACGCCGCGUGAGUGGAGAAGGUUUUCGGGUCGUAAAGCUCUGUUGUAAGAGAAGAACGGGUGUGAGAGUGGAAAGUUCACACUGUGACGGUAUCUUACCAGAAAGGGACGGCUAACUACGUG